CAGUGUGAAUGAUGAGAACAUGUAAAAUAUACAGUUAUCCCUGUCUGAUAAAUUCACAUGAAUGGGUGCUGAGAAAAAUACUCAAUCUGACACUUCU
rfam:Ananas comosus cultivar MD2 ACMD2_Scaffold_8435, whole genome shotgun sequence.